AACAGGCGAUAUCUUCAGCAUGUGCACAAUGAAACCAAUACUCAGAGAAGGCAGAUAAUUCUCCACGAAGCCAGAAAACUAAUAAAUGAACAACUUGGGUGAAAUGUCCCACCAGACGGUGUGAUAUUUAGUAGCCCAGAAAGCUGCCAAGGGGUUGAAUGACAGUAUCUGAAGAUAUGAACCAGUUCGCUCUCCAUAGGGAGGAUUUCAUCAACAGGAAACAGAUGCCUGGAAGACAUUGGACUUGCUAAGUGUCUGUGCCAUAUGAUUCUGCUGUUUGCGUUUGAUUUAGAAUGCUGAGCUGACUCAAAGUCAAACU